AACUUUUAGGUUAAGUUAAUAAGGGCGCACGGUGAAUGCCUUGGCACUAGGAGCCGAAGAAGGACGGCACUAACACCGAUAUGCUUCGGGGAGCUGUAAGUGAGCUUUGAUCCGGAGAUUUCCGAAUGGGGGAACCCACUGUUCGUAAUGGAGCAGUACAUUUGCGUGAAUACAUAGCGCAUCUGUGGCAUACCCAGGGAACUGAAACAUCUAAGUACCUGGAGGAAGAGAAAGAAAAAUCGAUUCCCUGAGUAGCGGCGAGCGAAACGGGAAUAGCCCAAACCAAGAGGCUUGCCUCUUGGGGUUGUAGGACACUCUACAUAGAGUUACAAAGGAAUGAGCUAGACGAAGCGAUCUGGAAAGGUCCGCAGGAUAGGGUAAAAGCCCCGUAGUCCAAAGUUCAUUCUCUCUUGAGUGUAUCCUGAGUACGGCGGAACACGUGAAAUUCCGUCGGAAUCCGGGAGGACCAUCUCCCAAGGCUAAAUACUCCCUAGUGACCGAUAGUGAACCAGUACCGUGAGGGAAAGGUGAAAAGCACCCCGGAAGGGGAGUGAAAUAGACCCUGAAACCGUGUGCCUACAAGUAGUCAGAGCCCGUUAAUGGGUGAUGGCGUGCCUUUUGUAGAAUGAACCGGCGAGUUACGAUUACAUGCAAGGUUAAGCUGAGAAAGCGGAGCCGCAGCGAAAGCGAGUCUGAAUAGGGCGAAUGAGUAUGUGGUCGUAGACCCGAAACCAGGUGAUCUACCCAUGUCCAGGAUGAAGGUAAGGUAACACUUACUGGAGGUCCGAACCCACGUACGUUGAAAAGUGCGGGGAUGAGGUGUGGGUAGCGGAGAAAUUCCAAUCGAACCUGGAGAUAGCUGGUUCUCUCCGAAAUAGCUUUAGGGCUAGCCUCAAACGCGAGAAUCUUGGAGGUAGAGCACUGUUUGGACUAGGGGCCCAUCCCGGGUUACCGAAUUCAGACAAACUCCGAAUGCCAAUGAUUUAUGUUUGGGAGUCAGACUGCGAGUGAUAAGAUCCGUAGUCAAGAGGGAAACAGCCCAGACCACCAGCUAAGGUCCCCAAGUAUUUGUUAAGUGGAAAAGGAUGUGGCGUUGCUUAGACAACCAGGAUGUUGGCUUAGAAGCAGCCAUCAUUUAAAGAGUGCGUAAUAGCUCACUGGUCGAGUGACGCUGCGCCGAAAAUGUAUCGGGGCUAAACAAAUCACCGAAGCUGUGGAUUGAUACCAACGGUAUCAAUCCACAGCUUCGGUGAUUUGUUNAUCAGUGGUAGGAGAGCGUUCUAAGGGCGUUGAAGUCAGACCGGAAGGACUGGUGGAGCGCUUAGAAGUGAGAAUGCCGGUAUGAGUAGCGAAAGAUGGGUGAGAAUCCCAUCCACCGUAUGACUAAGGUUUCCUGAGGAAGGCUCGUCCGCUCAGGGUUAGUCGGGACCUAAGCCGAGGCCGAUAGGCGUAGGCGAUGGACAACAGGUUGAUAUUCCUGUACCACCAAACCACCGUUUGAGUAAUGGGGGGACGCAGGAGGAUAGGGUAAGCGUGCUGUUGGUUAUGCACGUCCAAGCAGUGAGGCGUGAAUGUAGGAAAAUCCGCAUUCUAUAACGUUGAGCUGUGAUGGCGAGCUCGUAUGAGCGAAGUUCCUGAUUUCACACUGCCAAGAAAAGCCUCUAGCGAGGUGAUAGGUGCCCGUACCGCAAACCGACACAGGUAGUCGAGGAGAGAAUCCUAAGGUGAGCGAGAGAACUCUCGUUAAGGAACUCGGCAAAAUGACCCCGUAACUUCGGGAGAAGGGGUGCUCUCUCAGGCUUUCACCCGAAAGAGCACCCCUUCUCCCGAAGUUACGGGGUCAUUUUGNGGAAGGUUAAGAGGAGUGCUUAGCGCAAGCGAAGGUGCGAAUUGAAGCCCCAGUAAACGGCGGCCGUAACUAUAACGGUCCUAAGGUAGCGAAAUUCCUUGUCGGGUAAGUUCCGACCCGCACGAAAGGCGUAACGAUCUGGGCACUGUCUCAACGAGAGACUCGGUGAAAUUAUAGUACCUGUGAAGAUGCAGGUUACCCGCGACAGGACGGAAAGACCCCGUGGAGCUUUACUAUAGCUUGAUAUUGAAUUUUGGUGCAACUUGUACAGGAUAGGCAGGAGCCUUAGAGCCCGGAGCGCCAGCUUCGGAGGAGGCGUCGGUGGGAUACUGCCCUGGUUGUAUUGAAAUUCUAACCCAUACCCGUAACCCGGGUAGGAGACAGUGUCAGGCGGGUAGUUUGACUGGGGCGGUCGCCUCCUAAAGUGUAACGGAGGCGCCCAAAGGUUCCCUCAGAAUGGUUGGAAAUCAUUCGAAGAGUGUAAAGGCAGAAGGGAGCUUGACUGCGAGACCUACAAGUCGAGCAGGGUCGAAAGACGGGCUUAGUGAUCCGGUGGUUCCGCAUGGAAGGGCCAUCGCUCAACGGAUAAAAGCUACCCCGGGGAUAACAGGCUUAUCUCCCCCAAGAGUCCACAUCGACGGGGAGGUUUGGCACCUCGAUGUCGGCUCAUCGCAUCCUGGGGCUGUAGUCGGUCCCAAGGGUUGGGCUGUUCGCCCAUUAAAGCGGUACGCGAGCUGGGUUCAGAACGUCGUGAGACAGUUCGGUCCCUAUCCGUCGUGGGCGUAGGAAAUUUGAGAGGAGCUGUCCUUAGUACGAGAGGACCGGGAUGGACACACCGCUGGUGUACCAGUUGUUCUGCCAAGAGCAUCGCUGGGUAGCUAUGUGUGGACGGGAUAAGUGCUGAAAGCAUCUAAGCACGAAGCCCCCCUCAAGAUGAGAUUUCCCAUUACGCAAGUAAGUAAGAUCCCUCAAAGACGAUGAGGUAGAUAGGUUCGGGGUGGAAGCGUGGCGACACGUGCAGCUGACGAAUACUAAUCGAUCGAGGACUUAACCAAA
rnacentral:rRNA from 1 species